rnacentral:RNase_P_RNA from 1 species
ACAAUACGGGGAGGAAAGUCCGGACAACGCAGAGCACCAUACUUCCUAACGGGAAGGACUUGCCAUGCAAGGACAGAAAGUGCCACAGAAAAUAUACCGCCUGAAAAGGUAAGGGUGAAAAUGUGAGGUAAGGGCUCACACGCCGGCUGGUGACAGUCCGGUUGGGCAAACCUUAUGGGUUGAAAGAUCAUGUAAACCGGGGCUUGAGGGCUGCUCGUCCGAUCCCGGAGGGUGGAUCGAUAGAGGCAUUUGGCGACAAAUGUCCCAGAUAAAUGACAGAAAUCGGAGAAAUCCGAGUACAGAAUCCGGCUUAUUCGGCAGCUGU